rnacentral:pre_miRNA from 1 species
AGCCUUAUGUAUCCGUGCUGAGGUUUCGUCACACACCAGACAACAAGGGCUGANGAUGAGACUUCCAGGAUAAGUGAAGCG